rnacentral:lncRNA from 1 species
CAAAAUUUCUUUAAAAAACUUAUUUAAUCUACAUGUCUUUAAUCAAAGAUUUCCAAACAUAUAAAAAUGCAUUUUGAAUUUUCUACAGGGAAGAGAGAUCUAAAAUUCAGAAAUUUCUUUUAAAUAUUUAUUUUUUCACAUUCUCUUUAUGACUUUUAAAAAUUUAUAUUUUAUCCCAUCAAAAUUUCAAAUUAAUAUACUUAACCCCUUUCUGCUAGAGUUUUUUUUUAUUGUUUCAUCUAUUUCAUAUAAUUUAUAACAAAAUUUUCUUUUAAAACAGUAAAAAUAUUAUAUAUAUAUAUAGGCUGAAAUACUAUUGAUAACAAAAUAUUUUUUUUGCUAUCAAGUUUUUAACCCUUUGAUGAAAAACUGUAGAAUUAGAAUGAUAUUAGCUCCUUAAAAUUGAGUGAUCUCCUAAAAUUGAAUGGUUCCCACUGAAUUAUAAUAUUUAAUUCAAUGGUUAGAAAUGAUGAAAAAAUUAAUCCGAAAAUUAAAAACUUGAUAGCAAAAAAGACUAUUAAUAAUAUUCUAGCCCAACUCUCUCUCUAUAUAUAUAUUUAUAUUUCUAAAGCAAGUAUAAGAAUAAUCUGAUUAUUUGGUUCUUUCAAUUAACGGCAUAAUUUUUAAAAAAUAUUUUUAAAAUUUUAAGUGAAUAAAAUAUAAAUUUUUAAAAGUCAGUGGAGAUUUACAAUUUUUUUAAUAUUUUAGCCAUUAUUAUUUAUAAGUUUUAAGAUUUAGGGCGCCGUAACUGGACCAUUCUAAAUAAGCUCGAGUUAAGUCGCGGUCCAAGUCAAGCAAAUUCGCACCCAGGUAAAUAAAACGGCGGAGCACGUUUCCGACCCGGUCUCGAACCCAAGCCCAGCCCGACCCAAAACGCGACGCGGUGAUCUCACAGCGCGUGACCACACUUGAAAAUCAAGUCUCCGCGGCAGGAUCGAACGGACGGCCGAGAUCCCCCCGAGGAGGAGAUUUUUUUUUUUGUAUCGCGCCGCUGCCCACAAGCUUCCCCCGCGCCCCCUCCGCACCCCCUCGGGCCGCGUCGCGCUUAGAGAGAGAGAGAGAGAGAGAGAGAGAGAGCGCACGAAAGGAGAAGGGGCUCGAAGUUGGGGGUAUUUACGAGAUUGCCCCUAUCAAUAGGUGCACGCGACGUAAAAAGGACGAGCCGGGGGAGGUGGGGCCCAUCGUGGGGUGGUGGGGCCCGCCCGGGGUACCAAGUGGACACCGCAAGUUGGUGCUGGGUUCGUGGCAAGGCUUUCCUUAUCAGGUAAAGGGCCCUGUUGUUGGUGGCCGAAGUACUGGUGGUGAUGAUUACGAAAUAAACGAUAUUACCAAGUUUUUUUUUUUCUUUUUUUUUUUUUUUUUUUUUUUUUUUGUUGUUGUUGUUGUGUGUGUGUGUGAAUCAUAUUGACGACGCGACAGAUACGUAGAAAUAGGGGUGUAAUGUUUGUCGUGUCGGACCAACACAGCCUACAUUUACCCGGACCGAAAUUCGCUGCGAAGAGGCUCGGCUUCAAAUUCGGAUCGGAUAAUGUCGCCCAUCACAGAUCAAGUGGGCCGGGCCGUACUGGCCCCAAGGCUUAUAUCUUCGCUCGGCACGACUCAGGUUCGUUUCGAAUCGUGCCAUGCUUAGCAACGAGCCUAUGAUGAGGAUCAGGCCGAAUCGGGCCGAUACUAAGUGUUACGGUAUUUGUACAGUCUCUCGGGACGUAACAGCCCGCAGUCUAUUUGGUGCUGAGAAUUAAGAUUUAAAUUUUUUCUAAAUCGACUCACCAGCUAAUAAUUAUUAUUGUAAUAUUAUUAUAUAAUUUUUAAAUUUAUACCGCUUCCUUAGGAGAGGAUGUAAACGUGGCAGCCUACGAGGUUGCCACGUGUACAAUUGACCUGGCCCACCUUCCCCUUCUUCGGUUCCUCCCAUCGUUUUACUUCGUUCCGUAAUUGCCCUCGUAGAUCUCGGCAAUCCGAAGCUAGAACGCUUUCGGAUCCGGACAGAGAACAGGAAAUAAAACUAAGGGUAUUUUAGUAAUUUUCCACAUAACUUUUAAAUCCGCCACCUUCUCCUCCUCAUCUUCUUUCUCCUCCUUUUUGUCCCUCUCCGUUUUUCUCUCUCUCUUACAAUGGCAGCUUCUCCUCUUGAAUAAGGUAACAAACCCUAUCUAUGGAUUUAUAUACAUAUUAUUAUUUGUCUCUUUUCUUUUUUUUUCCUUUUUAUUUGUUUGGUUUCAAUUCAGUCCCUUAAUAAAAAACAAUGUUGAAUCAGACUCCUUUUAUCUACUUUUCUCUGAAAUUUUUUUUUUUUUACUCCAACUUAUUGAGGAAAUAGAUUUUGUUUUUAAGGUUUCCUUUCUAUAUUCAUUUUGGACAUUGUCACAUUACAUCUUGGUAGAUUGGAAAUUUUUUAUUUUUGCAUUUUUCUAGGACUUAUUAUUAUUUUUCCUAUCUAUUCAAUUGAAUUAGUAUGAUAGUACAACCCAAUUUUGAUGUUUAUAUAAAUGAAUGUGGAAAAUAUUAAUAGAAAUCUCAAUUAAUUAUUCAUAUCUGCGAAUUUUAUAUGACAUAUUAUACUCUUUGUAAUAUUAUCCCACCAAAGAUCUAAACUAUAAUAGAUCAUUGAAAUCAAAUGCACCUGAAGGAAAAUUAUUCAGAUGCACAUUUGUUAUAAAUGUAUUGACAAUUAGAUAUUGAAAUUAAGUACCAGUAAAUGGUAUUAUGUAAUUUGGGUUUCCCUUUUCCCUGAUUUAUGGGCUUGUUGUAGGCUUAAUUAGCUUUGUCACCAAUGUCAUGUAAAAGUUUUUGUUUAGUGUCCUUCUUGAGGGGCACAAAGCCCCAUCUAAGUUAGUUUACAAUUGCUACAUAGAAGAUUAAUUUAAUAGGAAUAUAAGGAAACCAUCUAGAACUAAUUUUAAACACCCCUACUCACGUACAUGAUAUGAAUCAGAAAAACCGCCAUGUCGCUCGGCUAGAACAACAGGUAACUGAUGAGAACUUAAUCCAUCAAACAUCAGUUGUGGCGAGUUCAGGGGCUCGUAGAAGAGCAAUCUGAUAGGAAACAACCUAGAAAUAUUUUUAACACUAAUCACGUUGUUUCAUUUCUCUUAGCAUUUCUUACUAUUCAAGCGCUGCUCGAGAAGUGUCUGAUAAAAUCUCUGAGCAGAAACUGUUUAAUUAAAACUUAACCUGGAAUGUGAUAUGAUUAACAUAAUCUGUAUAUUCUGGUUGCUUGCAUGUGAUGCUCUGUUUAAUAAGAAGGAUGCGCAACAAAAAUUCCUCUGCAUUAGACUGAUAAACUGGUACAUGCCAUACAGAUCUCGCUGCCGACCUCACAUGACGCGCCAGAAUUCGUAGAACUGCAGGAGACUUCUCUUAGCCAUAGUCUCAUGUGAUAACUCCGAAUAAAUUAUAAGAUUCUGAUUUUGAGGGCACCGAAUCAUGUGCCGUCACGUUAGCUCAAUUCAGGCUUUCUCAGCAAUCUAUGGUUGGUCUUAAUGAUCUAGCUGUUUAAGGAAUUCAUUAUUCUAUAGAUUGAUUUGUUAAUAGGUCAUGCAAUUACUUGAGUGGCUCGAAAGCUAAGGAGAUUAUGGUUUCUACAGAUUGAUUUGUUAUGUAUAAUAUUAGAUUACACAUGACUAUUUUUGUAGUUUGGGAGUGCUUCUCAUGCACGCUGUGGAUGAGCUCUAAAGCAAUUUUCAAUUUUGCGGAGCUUUAAAGCAUCGAAGUAACUAUCAUAUGGAAAGCAUUCCCAAACAAGUUGUUAGUCUCAAAAGCAAUAUCUUUUAGGGUUUUUGCGCCUUCUUUUUUUUGUGAAAAGGAGAAUUUGGCAAUUUUCUCUUUUUAUGGUUGCAGUAUAAAUUGAUAGAUGAUCAAUAACACCAUUUUUAUGACAUCUUUUUCUCUUCCAGUUGUACUAUGAGUGGCUGCGAUCUUAUUGUAUGUUAUCUAGUUCUCUGUAGUGUGUCAUGGCGAAAUUUGAUUUCAGAUACGUUAAAAGGUUCACAAACUUAUUCAGUUUACCAUGAAUUAUAUAUCAAUUUACUUUCUUUUUCUAGACCUUGGCCUUAUACUUGCAGAUAUCUCUUGGCUUUGGCCAACUUCUCCUUACAGCGUCUCUAACAUAUGUUUUCUUUCUUAUCAUCAUCAGCAUGAACAAAGUAGAAUGCUUAGGGACGUGAAGACCUAAAUGAUCACGACGAGUCGGAACCAAAACCCUAAGUUCGGUGAUCAUCACUAGUAAGCCACCUCCAAACCAUGGGAGACGAGGGAGGGAAAGUAACAGGGAUCCGCCAAAUAGUAAGACUCAGAGAGCUUCUCCAAAAGUGGCAAUCUGUCACUCUCGGCCCAAAGGAAGAGCAACAACCUAGUAAUAAGCCUUCGGGAAUCCCUCCUUCUAUCGACAAGCGGUUGAAGGGCGUCAGUGUUGGGUGCGACUCAGAUGAGGAGAACUGCCAAAGUCCGGAGCCGCCUCCAGAUGUUCCCAAGGGGUAUUGCCCCGUGUAUGUGGGGCCAGAGCAGCGGAGGUUUGUUAUACCGACGAGUUAUUUAGGUCUUCCGGUGUUUAAGCUGCUUCUGGAGAAGGCCGAGGAGGAGUUUGGGUUUGAUCACAAGGGCGCGCUCACGCUGCCGUGCGAGAUCGAGACAUUCAAGUACAUACUCCAGUGCAUGGAGAGGCACAAGCAGGGCCUUAUUGAUGAUGGUAUUGUCCUUAAUUUCUUUGCUUUCUUUUUGUUCUCUCUUACACAGAAAUUAAGAUAUGAGACAUUUUAUACAAGUUAAGAGUCUAAAACUAAGAGAUAAAAAUUGCUAAUGAGACCGACUAUUCCUAGCGUAACUAACAAAAAUCUUAAUGGUUAGCAUCCGAAGACCCAAGUUUAAAGUCUAAUAACUUCACAUUUUCAACUAAGUUCAUUUUUAAAAAAAAUGAAUGAAUCGAAUAGCAUACUAUCUUUAUUUAGAAAAGUAAUGUUAAUGAGAUGCUCUGUAGUGUGGCAAAAGAGAAGAUCUCCAAUGUCAUAAUUGAAGUAGGAGGUAGAUUUUCCUGUAGGAAUUUGGAGAUAAAAUUUGGCAAGCAUUUAUAUAAUUCGGUUGCUUCCGAAAAAUAAAAAAAUUUCAUUUUUGGUUCUAAGCAUUCCUUAUCUAAUUUUUUUUUUCCCCCUAUACUUCUCUCUUAUCCUGUUGUAGAAGGGAAUUCCACAGAGGUGGAGGAAUCAUCAUAAAUGAGCACAUCUCAAGAUUUGCUGCUCCCUAUCGCCACCAAUCGGUACACAAAACAUCGUCUUUAGGAAUUCUUUUCUUCCUCCUGAGGAUAGUUGGUGUUCUAUCAGCUCAACGAAACUGUUGUAUCAAUAUGCUCCAACAGUGUUUAAAUGAGUGUUUUAGGGCUAUUAACAUUUUCUUUGCUUAACUAUAUAAUUGCAGGGAAUCUGCUAGAAUCUAUAUAACCCAACAUUCCCUGCCUUUGUAAUGAUGUAACCUUGCGAAUCGAUAUCCCUAAUUGAUUUUCUUUGGCAUCUGAUGCUUGAUUUAGACAUUGUAACUCUUUUUAACUUUCUUUUGUUGUUCAUUUCAUGCUUACCAAUUUCAGCAGUUGGCCAACUUGUGUAAAUUUCUGUGGAUCUACAUGAAAGAUUGAAAGCCAACGAUUAUUCCUAGAAAGAUAUUAUAUAAUUUGCUCAUUUUAUUCCUAGAAAGCUCUUAAUCUUGGUGGAGGAAGAAGCCAUGUUGCACCAUUGAUGAAAUCCUUGCUCAAGAAGGGCCUCGCUUGACUAUCGUUCAGUAUCUUUCCAUAGCUCACGCGGUUUUUAGUCGCGGAACCUGGUCCCGUGCAUUUGUACUCCCCAUAAUACACAGUCCUAUAAUAAAAUAUAAAAUGAGAAAAACUCAGUAAACCACCAACUACUCCGACUAGUUAUUCGAUGCCCUCAUCAAAAUGCAUCUGGUGCCCAAGGGAUAGUGUUAUGAGAUGAAUCAUGAUUAUUGUCUAUAGUGCGCGUUCUACUAUUUGUCUUUUGCUCAAGUGUGGGAAGUGAUAGAUACCUCUGUCGCUCGGGUAAACCCUUGUCGCUCCAGCCGAGGGGGUCGACGAGACUGCCCAUGUACGUGUAGGCGAAGACGACGCGAGAGCGCGGCUUCCAUGCACGGCUCAGAAACGCAUCUCCUGUGCCGGAGAUCCUGCAGGACACGAAGGAGAAGCCGCUCUUGUCGGAGAUAUUCUCCCUUGCUUGGGCUGUGAUAGCCGUGGCGCCAUCCGCAACAGAAUGUAGCUCACAGUUCUGCGCCAUCUUAUUACUAAUUAGUGCCCUUCAAUCUUUUAGACUUCUUCCGAUUCCAGAGUAAAAUUACGAACUUAGGUUAAGUUCUGAUUUAAGUCUUUGAUCUGAUUUAAGUCUUUGAUCGUCAUUAAGCAAAGGAAACUGCUGAUUUUAUUAACAGCAGGGAUGCUAAAUUUAAGUAGUUCUCAAUUAAACUAACUGAAAGAACUUAAAAGUAAUUAAAAAUUAAGUAGGCGCAACAAUAAAACAUAAUAAAUGGUCUACAGUUGCUGCCAAAUAUUUUUGGUAAAAAUGUACGAGAGGGCUAAUAAUCCCUCACCUUUACCUUUUUGUAUUAGCACCAUCUUAAAUCUUGGCUUUUUCUCUUUGUUAAUUUGAAUUACUCACAACGCAAAAUGCAAAAUAGUUGAGAGAGAGAGAGAGAGAGGGUGGGGGCAUACCCGAUACAGGGAUCUCCCAUUGCCGAAGACAAAAUCAACCGUCCCUCUAAUGAAGCAGUUUUUGAAGUAAUGCCUACCUCUAUCGUCACAAAGCGUGUCUUGAUACCCGUAGAAUUUGCAGUUGUAGAACGCUGCUUUGUCCCCCGAUAUUCGCAUCGCAACCGCUUGAGCUCCCGCUUGGCCAUCAGCAGGCUUUGGAGCUGUAUUCUACUAAUGCCACAAUUACUUAACAUAUCAUCUCUAUUAUUUUCUAGCAACGUAAACAGUAGUAAUGCAAGAAUCUCAAACUCUUCCUCUCUUUGAGGUUUCGGUACCUCAAAGAUGAUAUUGCAUGCAACAAAGUAGUGAGACUCGACCGCCACGGUGGCGCUGAGGAACGUGCCAAACUGCGCCGCCGUCCCGUCGAACGAAAUCCUUGGCAUGGCGUGCCGGUCCCCGUAGAACGUGACGAAUGGCUUCGAAUGGUCGACCGUCACCUUCUCCCGGUACAAUCCGGGCCCAAUAUGGAUAACAGUACGCCUCGAGACGCCCGCUGGGAUGCUGUUAACGGCGUCUGCGACCGUCGCAAAGUCCCCCGACCCGUCCUUCCGCACCGUUAUCACUUUCGUGCGGUUCUCCGCAAGGAGAAGAAUCCGCUCAAUGGCUAGUGCAGUCAUACUUCGUCGUGGCAGGAAUUGCCGGACAUUCUCGUAGCGGACGGUGUGGCGGGCUGUAGAGACAGCCGGAAGGAGGAGGAAUAGAGAGACAAAGGCUGCAAUGACCCCUACCUGGAAUUUAGAGGUCGUGUGGUUUCUGGCCAUCGUUUGAUCAUGACGAUUAGCAAACUUUGGAUUGAAGGAGAGAUGAUGUGAGGAUUAAGAAAAUGGCGGUCCUGUCGUAUUCCCUUCCGGACGGUGGUUACGAGCAUAUUAAGAUUGCUAUAAAUGCUGGGAAAGGCAGUUAACUUUAUUAAUUAGACGCAAAUUUAGCGUCUGUGGGUGGGGUUUCACUUGAGUUUGGCCCAUUUACUCACUAAUCUCAAAUGCUAAUCAAUAAUAGAACAAAAUAUAAGAUAGAUUACAAAAGUAAAAGAUUUUACUAUUGGCAUGAAUGAAGGUGGGGGUCAGCAAAAGAAUUUAGGAGCUCUAACAGACAUUGAUCAGAAUACAAGAGAAAUUUUAGUAGUCAAUAUGCCGAAGUAGGCAAUCAAAAUCGGUGUGGACGAAGAAAAUCUGGCGGUAGAGGUAGUUUAAGCUUAGCGCUAAAGAAUUGAAGGUAGGUAUGCAAAGAAGCCAAAGAAGGAGAAAAAUAGUACGCGAUGGACUCAACAAAGAGACAAUAGUGCGUAUACAUAAAACUCCUCAAAACACCUACGAAAACGAUACAAAGUUUUGGUCUCAGCAUCAUCUGGAGCUGAAAGGAGCUGUAGCUGCGGAUCAGCUAGUGGGAACUAACAAGCUGAAGGAAGGCACACCUAAGAAGUAUAUCGAUUCUUCUUUAUUAAAGCAAAAGAAACUUCUCACACAAGUUCAUAUUAUUCCAAUUAAUAAUGUGGAUUGAACCAAAGAAACAGAUGGGUGUCUCUGGUAAGGUCAAGGACAAGGGAUCAAAUGCAAAAUUCAAUUCUAUUAUUGGGAAUAGUAAUAAAAUGGCUAAGGGAAAGAUUAUUUGGUGGAGAAGGAGAAUGACAGGGGAGCUAGGAGAAGAGUAACAACAAGUGAAAAAACCUGUAAGCGAUAAAAGUCCUUAGUAUCUUAGAGGUAAGAAGGUGUAGUGAGAAAAAAGUACAAUGGGGGUAUGGAAAUUUUAAUUUGAUAAUUUUCAGGAGAGCAAAACAACUAAUCCUGAAAUGGGGCAGUUGGCAAGAGGCAAUGGAAAAUUGAUAUAUGAGACUGGUUAAAUGCAGAGCGUAGCGGAGGAGGUAUACAAAUGGAGAGAUUCUAGGAGGUAUAUAAAUGGUAUGGAAGAGGUUCAAACAGAUAGAAAAAAAUAGGAAGUUAGAGAGAGAAAUAAAAUGGACAAAACAGAAUAAAGUGAAGAAUCGAGGAAAGAAACUGAGAAACUUAAGAAGGGAGAAGAGCAGUAACUUCAUUGGCUUUAACAUAAUUUGGCUAUAAACUAUAAUAAAAAAUUGCAACAAAAGAAUAUUGAUAGAGAAUAUGGAAAAAAGUUAAGAAGAUCUUAUAUAAAUUACCUAAUGAAUCUUGUUAUAUUUACUAGUUGGAAGCAACAACCAGCUAUAGAUAAUUAUACCAUGAAAAAUUGCAAAAUUAAUAGGAUACCAAAGAAACUAAAAUUGUGACAUCAACAAAAAAAAAGGAAUGAAAGAAAAGAACGCAAAUUACUUUGGGACAAGGACUAAUUGGGCAAAAAACAAGAUAACUUGAGAAAAUGAUAUUUGAAAAAGAGAAGAACACAGAAUGUGUCACACAAAAUUUCUGAAGGAAAGGGAGAGGGACUUCGUUUGUAUGAAAGGAAAAUCAAAGGGGAGGGACUUUGUUAAUAAGGAUAAACCCUCGAGUCCUCUUGAUGCUUUCUAUAGUCUGUUUCUAGGCCAUGUGCUUCUCCUGGUGCACAAGGCCUGAUUGUGCUUCUCUCUCCAUUCUCCCAAUGUCAUUCAUGUUAUCUCAUUUAAUACUGCGACGCCCCACUUUCCAGGGGUGUCACUCAUUAUAGAAUUACUCUAGUCCAAGCUCAUUUAAUCCCAUUAAUCUCCUGAACCUAGCCACCACUCAAAUUAUGGAUUAAGAGAUUUAGCCCCAUUAUACUAUAUAUAUUGGACUGUUCUAAAAUGAGCCACCCUCUUUCAUGAAGAACCUAAGAUCAUCAGGAUUUCUUGAAGAAAAUAUCAAAUCCCUGUGACCAACCUACGAUCAUUACAGAUCCGCUGCAUUCCAAGCAUUAUUUUCUUGGGUAAUAGAAGGAGAAGAAGAGGGACUGCAUAACUGGACCAAGAACCAGAUCUAGAACCCUAAUUAGUCUUCGGAUCAACUAACCUCAAGUCUAUCCACAAAAUUAAUAGGUCCAAAAAAUAAACACUAUAUAAAGGUGGAAUUACAAAGAAUUACACAGAUAAACUAGUUUAUUCGCACAUCAUAUACGACUAUAGUGAAGAAACAACUAAAAUAAACACAAAUUUGCAACUGAUAUGAAAGGAAGAUAACAGCAAUAAGAUUCGAGCAUAUGAACUAAAGUAUUCUCAGUGCAUCGAAGAACCUGAGAUUAUCAGCAUGCCAUGAAUAAAUGAUUAUAACUCUGUAAAGAGCCUAAGAACUUCCUAGAUCCGCGGCAGGGAAACAACAAUAAACAUGCAAUCGGAUCAACAACCACAUUAGGAACCCUAAUUAGGGUACGAAUCAACUUACCACGAGUCGAUCCACACGAUCGGUGAACUCCUCAAGGAAGAAGGCCUCGAUCGCCCUCCACCAUCGGCGUGGCUGCGAGGAUUUCUCGGACGAAACCAUAAAUCACGAGCUAGGGUUUGACGUUGCAUCUUCAUCAAGGGAUUUGGGGAGGAUGAGAAGAGAGUGGAGCCGAGGAGGAUGAGAUCGGUGACGCUCCGAGCUAGGGUUUGGUGAGGCAUCUAAUCUACGAGGAAUGGAUUUGGGGAGGAGGAGAAAGGGGAGAGGAGACGAAGGGUUCGAUGAGGAGAGCUCCGAUUCGAAAUAGAAAGAUGGCGGGAAUUGAAAUUCGUCCGGGCCGAGGUAUUUAUAGACGCUGUUCGUGGGUUGAGAAGCGCUACGUUUGAAUUUGGUUUUCUCACGAAUAACACGUGCGUCGCACGUGCAACGUUCUUUGUAUGCACGGGUGGCAAACCGAGCUGUUCGCGAGCUGGCUCGUGUUCGGUUCGAAAUUAGCUCGAGAUCAAAUCGCUCAUUUAGUAAACGAGUUGAGUACGAGUUGGGAUUAAUUUGCUCAUGUUCGACUCGAUAACAACUCGAAUACAUAUAUUUUAUAUUUAUAUAUAUAAAUAAAUAAUUAUAUAUGUAUAUAAUAUAAAUUUUUAUUAUUUGAUUUUUAGUCCAACAUAAAUAUAAAAUCAAAUUCAAUUAUAAAAUGGUUUAUUUAUAUGUAAAAUUUCAACCAUUACAUUAAAAUAUAACGGAUAAGAUCUUAUAAAUUUAUUUUCUGUAUAUAUAUUUUUUAAUAUUUUUAAAUUUUUAUUCAUAAGCCAGCUCGUAUUCGACUUGAUACUUUUACGAGCUGACCCUAGCUCGCUUGUGUUUGGUUCAUUAACACCCCUAAUUAUAUGGUAUAUUUACCUUCCCACAUUAAUUAUGAAACUUGUAAUAUUGUUAUUUUUUUUUCUAUUGAAAUUAGAUCAAUGGCUAAGUGGUUUCUGGGUUUUUUACCGCACAACUUAUUUCUUUUUGUUUAAAAAAUAAGUCAUGUAACAUUUUUUGUAAUUUAAAAAGAUAGAAAAGUAUAAAAUUUAUGUGAACUAAAGAUUAUUUUGAUUUGACUGUCUAAUUUUUCAGAAUUUUGAUUUUAUCAACCAAUCUUUCAAUUUAUUUGCUUUGAGUCAAUCAACGGCAGUUUAACUUUAAAAUUUGAAUGUGUCGAUUAUCUUUACAUAUUUAAUUUUUGUACUUCAUGUAAUUUUCGUAAUUAUAAAUUUAUUAAAAUAAGCAAUUAGCUUAAUUUUUUUAAAUUAAAGUGAUGCUUACUGAUUUAAAUUAAAUAAAUUAAAAUAUUAGAUAGUAAAAUUAAAAUUUUGAAAAAUUAGAUAGUCGAUUCAAAAUGGUUCAUAGUUCAGAAAAAUUUUGUACAUUUUUACCAUUGAAAAUUGAUUUAAAGAUUGGACCAAGUUGGGCUAUUUCAUACAUAAUUUUUAAGACUAAGCCCAGUCCCAAUAGACUUGACCAAGUUGGGUCGCGCUGAACAAAUUCGGGCCGGAAACGGGCCCAAUUUAUUGGUUCGGAUCGGACGGCUAAGGUUGAUUUUGAGCAGGCCCAGCUACAAAGAGGUCUCCUACACCUAAACUCUUCUAUUAGGAUUCUAUCUCUAUAGUCAAUAGUUAUAUAUACUGCUACUCUUUCUUAAUUUUAAUGAAAUUAAUCAACGAUAAUAUUUCUUAAAUGAUGGGUUAACUAGUAAAAAAAGUAAAACACCACAAAUGCCCUGCUAUUAUUUUCUAUAAUUAAAUAUGAACAAGGCUAAGGCUACUAUACAAUAAAUAGCAUCAAGUCAUUGGUGUUAUUAGGUUUUCGACUAUUAGAUAAAGAAAUGUGCUGUUAGGAUUGUAAUGAUUCUCUUCGAUUGGGUAAGUUUAACGGUAAAAAACUUAGUAGCACCAAAUGCUUGUUGCUAUUUUUUUCUUUUUUUUGAGAGAUAGCACGCUACCGACUUCGUUUAUUUCAUUUAAAAAUAAAUUUAACUGGAAAUGUGAAUAAACUAGAAUUCGAACUUGGGUCUUGGAUACCAACCACCAAACUCUUUGACACUUGCUCUGGGGACGGUCGGUUUGUUGCUAUUGACAGUAUAGUAGUCGGAUUCUAAAUAUUAUUCCUCGCAAACUUUAAAUUAUUAAAAUAUAAAAUUCGACUAUCAAAGUUACAUAAGUACAUAACUAGCUAGUGUACAAACAAACGGUGCGAACGGACGGAGAGAGAAAUAAAAGAGUGAAAAACCAGCCACAUGGCUAGGGACAAAAAGAAUACCAUCCCUUAAUUCUAACUAAUAAAAUAAAAUAAAAAAUAAUUUUUUUUUUUUUUUUAUAUAAAUCUCUCACACUUGGGCCCCUACCACAUGCCCCUGGUGCCUCUCCUGAACCCACCCACGUUAGUUACGAUAUGCAUGCACGAACGCAAUCAUCUCUCUCUCUCUCUCUCUAGAGGUGAUCUCUCUUUCAUAUCAACUUAAUAAUGGACAAAAAGGAUGAGAUAAAAGGGAUUUGGUGCCCCCUCCCCACGAGGGGGUCCUCCUUUUUUGUGGUUUAAGUAAAGCAUAAUAGCUUACAUGGUAAGCAGAAGCAUCAUGAAACAUGUCAUGUGCUUCUCAUACAUAAGACCCACAGACACAAUCAAACCAUGUGCUCUCUCUCUCUCUCUCUCUCUAUCUAUCUCACUGUGUCUUCCAAAUCUACAGCUUGCACAUCUUGCUUUAUCCUGUUAUUAUUUGUUUGUUUCGUUCAAGGACUCGAGCCCACUCAGAUCAAUCCAAAAGUUUACGGUCCUGUUUAUUUCGUAUGAGAAUUUUCUAGUAUAAUUAUUGAUAACCUGAUUGAUUUUCACUUCUUCAGAAAUAUUUCUAUUCAUAAUUUGAUAUCUAUUUAUAUCUAUAUAUUAUUUUCAUAUACAAUUUGUCACGCGACAAUUCCUCCUUCACUCUCAUUCCCACUUCUUAAUGCUUCAUCUUUCCAUCCCCUACCUCCGCCCGAUGCUUCGUUUUCAUAUUCGCCCAAACUUCUAAUUAAUAUAUUAAUAUGAUCCAUUCUCAUCUAAACAAAUCACUUUUACAAAAAAAAUAGCAAAAUAAGAAUAUUUUCAUACUCUUUUUUCUCACUUUUUUGUUUUCCUUUUUUCUUGACCGUGACCUAGGAGAAGCUCGACGCCGACAAUAGCGGUGGGGGCAAUAUGGAGAACAGGAUUCGCCUCUCCGAUUUCGGCAGCGCUAUCAAGGUGCGUAUGGAGUAAUAACUCUAUUACUGUUUUUUUCAUUAUUAUUAUUAUUAUGUGUAAUUUAUUUACUGAAAUUGUAAAUUUUGCUACAUUUGUACAUAUUUGUUUCAUAUUUUAUAUUUGUAUUUAUUGGCGUCUUAUGGUAAGUGAAAAAAUUUUAAAAUUUUUAUUUUGUCAGUCUUAUGUUUUCCAUAGUAUCAGGCCGUCCGUCGCAAUGUGUCGGUAACUUCACUAGCGAUAACAUAUUUCACUUAUGUACCUAGCUAGUUAAUUAUUACGAUAUGAGAAGUAUUAUGUUAGGACAUAAAGAAAUCGCAGAAUAUAUAAAAACAAAUUCUCAGUUCCGAUGAGAGAGGUGGGAUUAAGAUUAAAAAAUUAUAAUUAAUUAAUUAAAACGUUGUAGUUUACCUCAGGGAUUGCGUAAUACAUAGUUCUUAAUUUUUUUAAAAGGUUAAUUAAAUUAAUAAGGACAUGUAUAGUUCAUGCAUCCAUUUCACCCUAUAUUUAUUCACAUGUGUAAUUAAUUAACCAAGUGCUAUGCACGUCUCAAUACAAAAGCAAACUACACAACAAUUAAACGCCCUAAAUUGGCCCUAAUCACUACAUACAAUGAAUGUAAUUAGCUACAAAAUUUCCUCCAAAUCAUGUGAUUAAUAAACUUAAUUAAUGCGUAGCGAAUAUAUGAACUCUUGUACAUAAGCGUAGUUCCUGGGGAGGCCACAUGCUUCUAAUCAUCUAAUAGUGUCGUUUAGUUGCUGGUAGAGGGAUUGUAUUCAAAUAUUCUUAAUUAUUACUCUUUUUAUUAUUCUACAUGGAAAAUGAUAGGAUCUAAUUCUUAAUUAACACGUCUCUAUUGUGUAUGUUUCUCAUGUGGUAUGGUGUUGGAGACAAUGACGUAUCUGAGCAAAGGAAAAAUGUUGCGUCUACUCGGUGUAUAAUUAUAUUUUUAUACAUUACAAAAUUUAAUAUCAUGAAUAUAAUCUACAGGAUCUAAAGAGCCAAUAUAUAGUGAAAAAUCAUUAGUUUAUACAAUAUGUCACCUAGGCAUUAAGUAGUCAUUAAAAUAAUAAAAUCAACAGUAUAUGCAAUAAUAUAAAUUUUGAUAUAUAACUAUAUAAGGCUCUUAAAUGUUUCCACAUAUAUAUAUAUAUAUAUAUAUAUANAAAGCAUAAGAGCCCAAUUAUAUAUAUAUAUAUAUAUAUAUAUAUAUAUAUAUAUAUAUAUAUAUAUAUAUAUAUAUAUAUAUGGUGUGGUGUACGGGAUACAGAUAAUACACUCGGUGUAGAAAAUAGUUUCUCGUGAACCAUCGGGGCCUAAUCGCGGCCCCCUCAUCACCGUUAAUAGCACAUGGGCAGUCAACGUACGGAGGGUGAUGGUUCAACAAAUAAAGCGCACCGCGCUUCUCCAAAAAAUUACGCACUUUUUAUAAUUAAAAUUUUAGAAAAAGAUUAAUUUCACUUCAAUUCAAAACCAAUUUUUCAUUUUCGUUUUGAAUCUUUAAUUUUAUAUGAUCAUUUUUUGAAAAAUUGAAUUAUUAUGUUUAGUUUUAUCAUCAAAAAUCAUGUUAUUAAAUCAAAGAAUAUGACUCAUAUGCCAUUUAGCCUUAGCAAAUUACGUGCUUUUGUCGGAUUUAUACGAAACAACUGAUUUCUUCAAAAGCUCGCAUCUGAACUCUAUAAUACUAUUUUAUAUAAAGUGAAAUAGUAAUUUAUCUCAAAGUUUAAGUUUUAAGAGAAUGACACUACCUACUCGAGCUAAGUUGUAAAAAAUAUGCGAAGUACUUACUAAUUUAAAGAGGUGAAUCAUCAUAGGAGGAUGCAAAUAGGAUCCGAGAACAAUGAGUUACUACUUUAAGCUUCAGGGUUUUGCAAGUGAUGAGUGGGUACAUUUUAUAUGUCUGGUAUGGGAAUAAAUCAGAGAAAACAAAAUUUAUCCCCACUAUACCACCAAAUGUCGUCGGAAUGAUUAUUCUGGUCAAACUGGAUUAUUCUAGACAAUUCUAGAAUAAUCUGAGAAUAACUACUCCACUUUUUUAGUGGUAUAAGGCUAUUCUCAUACUUAUAUCUAACUAAUUAAAAAAUAAAAAGAUAUAAUCCUGCUUAUAUUUAGCUAAAUAAAAUAAAAAUAAAAAUAAAAAUAAAUAAUAAUAAUAAUUUUUUAAUUUUUGAUUUUUUUAAAAAAAUAAUAACAGUAAUAGUAGUAUUUAUUAUUGUUACUGUUAUUAGUAACAGAAGUACUAUAUACUAUUAUUAUAAAUAAAACAGCAUGUAUUAUAACAUAUAACUAGAUUUUCACCCGUACGAUGCACGACUAAUAUAAUAAUAUAGAAUAAUAAAAAUUAUUAUUUGAUGAUAACAAAAAAAAUUUCUAAUUAAUUUUAUUUUUUUUAACAAAUAAAAAAAUAUACUAUCAAUCUUAAUUAUAGUACAUAUUAAAAUACACAAGCUAGAGAAAAAAAAAAUUGGACCAAAGUAAAUAUUCAACUAAAAUGCAAAAUUCAAUCAUGCUCUAUUAUCUAUGAAUUGGUGUGCAAAAUAAUUUACAUUUACAUAUUGAUGUGCGAAAUAAAAUAAUAACUAAAAUUAAUAUGAAAAAUUACAAAUGACAUUAAUAUUUAAGCAUAUAAUGAGAUCAUCUAAACUUUCAUAUUUGACACAAAUUAAAGUAAGCACACAUAUAUUAUAUUCCUACUGUCAUUUUUAAGAUUUAAAAAUAUAUAGAUAUUGGUUUUCAAGAAAAUAUAAAAAAAAAAAUUUGUUGCAUGAAGAUGAAAAGUUACAGGAGUGACAGUAGGAAAAAAAAUUACGAAAUAAAAAUUACAGAAGUGAUAGUAGGGAAAUAAUAUGUUCUAUUUUAAAACAUCAAUAUUUAAGAGCGAAGAAAAUUACAGGAGUGAUGUGAAUUUUAAAUUUUUUCCUCUUUCCAAAAAUGCCUCUAUCUUUUUUUACUAAUAUUUUUAUGUCCAAAAAUUUUCAACCAAUCAUUUCAAAUAAUUAACUAAGUAAUAAUUUAUUCCCAAAUAAAGAUAAAUAUUUUCUUUCUCACGCGUAAUAUCCGCACCGCCAAUUUUUUCGCAACAUAAUAUCCGUAAAUUUCUCAAAUACCUCAACAUAAUUAUAAAUGACUUUGAAAUAUAACUAAGUAAUAAUUUAUUCUCAAAUAAAGAUAAAUAUUUUUCUUCUCAUGCGUAAUAUCUGCACCGGCCAAUUUUUUUGCCACAUAAUAUCCGUGAAUUUUAUAUUCCUUAAAAUAGAAAAUUUAUAUUUGAGCUUGACAUGUAGAUUUUUUAUAUAGUAAAAGAUAUUAAUUUCUUAAAAAAUUUAUUUUUUUUUCUAAAUAAAAAAUCUAUAUUUGAGCUUGACACGUGGCAAACAUAUAGAGCGCCACGUGUCAGCUUCUCACAUAGGGUUCAUUAAGGGUUCUACUUUUAUAUAUAGUAAUAGAUAUAUUAAAAUAUAUUAUGACUUCGUUUGGAAUUGUGGGGAGAUUGCGUUACGUGCAUGCAGUGAGAAAUGACAAUGGAAAAAUAUCUUUUUUGUUUCCGUACGUAAUAUUGCGUUCCGCAUAUUGCGGUUAGUCGGUUACGAUAUAUUUUCUACGGUCCCAUCGGAGAACAAGCAUAUCUCUAUAUGUUUUUUCUCAACUCUAUUUUAUAUAGCAUUAGAUAAAUCUCAAUACCAAACUAAGCUUAUAUUGUAUUAUUUAUAUAUAGUUUCUUCAUUAUUCUAUUUUUGAGUUAACUAUCAAACACAUUUUUAGCUAUCCUUAAGAAUAACAAAAUCUUUAACCAAACACAAUUUUGAACUUAUUCUUGUAUAUCUCAGAACAACUAGCUAUUCCAAAAAUAAAAAAAAAUAUAUAUUUCUAAGAAUGUAAACCCCCAACCAAACAUAUACAUAGUACUAUUUGUUACCAUGAUUCAUUGGCAAAUAAUGAAGGAAAAAAUUGCCUUGCAACACACAUGCAUUGCCGCAACUGAAACUGUGGGCUUAUUAAUUAAGGUCAUGGUACACCUCUUGCAACUUGCAAAUAUAGCCUAGCAAUAUUAAUUAAUAUUUCGACAUUGAUAUCCAUUCAUUGUACUAUCCCAAGAUUCAUGAAUUAAUGAGAUCUAUCCCCAUUGUCCUCCCCCUAAUCCCUCUCUAAGGCCCUAACUACUAGCUAGACAUCAAUUAGCCACUAUCUUUUGACCUGCAUAAACACAUGCCAAAGUCCGCUAGUAUCUGAAUUCAGGAUCUACCGCUCUGAUAUUUGUGACGUAAUUAUUAUUUUUCUAGUUACUUUAUAAGUUAGCAGAGAAUAACAUUUCAAAGAAAAUACAGAGUUAGCUCACCUGAGUUCAAAACUCACCUUGAUAUACUUUGAAAACAUAGAAAAUAUAUACAUCAUGUUCAUUUGUUUGUCUUUAAAUUAAUAAAUCAUCAUGUUGUGUGAUCAAGCCAAUUCAGUAUUCAAAAAGGAGAAUAAGGUGAGAAGAGACCCUGCACAGAUACAACUUUGUGGAGCAAGUGGAAUGAGGUACUACAUAUAUAUAGAACGAGGAUACUAUACUAUCUAUAGUACCAGAGCUCCGAUACUAUAGUCUCAUUUUCAAUAUUAAGGUAUUCAAAUCAACGAUCCACGUUAUUAAAUAUGAUUUUGGAUAUAUAAAAUUCUUAGGAUUAAAAUUUAAAUUUUUUUUGACAUUGUUUACUUAGUAAGUAAAUUAUAUCAAAAUAAACGGUAGAAAUUGAACAAAUUUUAAAAUUUGAGGAAAGAACUUUUUUAUUUUUAAGAUCAAGGAUAUUGAUCUUGAUCUAGAUAAUUUAAAAUAUUUUCUGUCAAGAUUUGAAUAAAUUUAGAUUCUUUUACACCGUUAAACUAUAAACUCGUCAUACUAAUCAUUAAAAAUUAAUAAUUUGAAAAUAAUUUUGAUCAUAAAAUAAAUUAUAUAAAAAAAUAUAUAAAAUUUCAUUUCUAAAAACUUUAAAUACUCUAAACCAGUUUUAACGGCAUCGACCGUUGAUUUGAAUAUUCUAAAGUUGAAAAUAAGACUAUAGUACUAGAGCCCUGAUACUAUAGAUAGUAUAAGAGCUUAGCUCUUUCUAUAUAGAGAGAGAGAGAGAGCUAGGCUGCUAUUUUAUCGAUAGCACGUAGGCCUCUAUAUAUACUACUAAGUUAUUUUGAGUGAUAUAGCUUUCAAAUCAACGAUCAACUCUAUUAGAGUUGAUAUGUACUAUUGAAAGUAUUUGGAAACUAAAUUUCAUAAUUUUUCGACAUUAUUUGGCUAGUGAUCAAAAAGUCUCAAAAUUGACAAUGUUAAUGAUCAAUAUGAUUCGUUUGUAAAUUUUACGGUGUAAAAUAAUUUAAAUCUGAUGAAAUUUUUAUAAAAAUUUUAUUUUUCACUAUUUAGAGUAAGAUCAGUACCUCUGAUCUUAAAUUCAAAUCUUUUAUCAUCAUUUUUAUGAAAUUUUUAUUUUCAGUCGUUUAUUUUUAAACUACUCAUUUCAUAGGUAAAUAAUGUCGAAAAAUUAUGAAAUUUAGUUUUUAAAUAUUUUCAAUAAUGUAAAUCAAGUCUAAUAGAACCCAUCGUCGAUUUGGAAGUGUAUCAUUAGAAACAAUUUGCCAGCAUGAAGAACUCCAUGAUACCGAUAGUAUAGUAGUCAGAAUAUAUAUAUGUAUAUAUAUAUAUAUGUAUAUAUAUAUAUAGAGAGAGAGAGAGAGAGUCCGGCUACUAUACUAUCGGUAGUACCAAGCUCUUGCUACUAUCGAGUUUUCUGCCAUUAGAUCUACCCUUUGAUUAUUUCCACUCAGUAAAUUAUACUAUUUAACCAACCACCUACUCAACCCUAAGGAACUACAAUCAUUCUAAUCGGGAACCACUAUUAUUCUAAACGGACAUCUUUUCAUCCAACGGCCGAAAACUUAGUAGCACCAAAUACUUGAUACUAUCGAUAAUAUAGUAGCAUAAUUAUAUAUAGAGAGAGAGAGACACACACACAACCUUCAAAACUACUAAGACAGCGGAAAUAAAUGCGUGCAAGUUGGUGAUGAGAAAUGGCUCUCUCUCAGAUCAGAGGCGGUUUUCGAAGUAACGUUUACGUAUUUGAUACAUACAUUUGUGGCAUUGUAUAGUUUAAGAAGAAUGCUGCAUCCUGUACCCUGAUACUCUGUUAUCUAGCUGGUUGACAAAGAUAUCUGCAAAUAAUGCAGGUUUGGCUCACUACAGUGUCACUUUCCUGUAGAGAUAUCUAUGCAUAUAUAUUACUUAUAAAAUUAAGUUACAAACUUCUCUAAACAUAUAGAAUAAUAAUUCAAAUUUCCCAACUGCUAUCCAAAUUUUCUAUGCAUGGGUGAUCACUGACAUAGUAGAAUCACUUCGCAUAAACUAGAAUUAAUUCAAUUUUGAUUGGUAGCAUGCACCAUUGAGGAAUGUAGAUUAAUAUAUGGCUAAAUUACAUAAAAUUUUUCUGUCAAAAUUCGAUUUUUCAUUUUUUUCCCGUCAUUUAAAAACCUACACUCUGCCUCCUUAUAAGAUAAAAAAUGUUCACUCCGCCUCCUGCCUUUAGUAAUCCGUUAGGGUUCUGUUUAUAAAAUAUUAUUAUAUAUAUUUUUAUAUCAAAAAUGUCUCAGCUUUCUCUCCUGUGAACAUGAUAAGGAGCAAAAUGGUGAAGGGCAAAAUAAUCAUUUUAUCAUUAUAGUUCACACCGUACUCCCCUGUGAACAUUUUUUAUUUUACAAAAGGGCAAAGUGUAGGUUUUUAAAUGACAAGGAGGAAAAGUGAAAAAUCAAAUUUUGACAUGAAGGUUUUCUAUAAUUUAGCCAUUACUUGUAUAAACUUGGUGAAUUAAUGUACCAUAGAUUGGAUCCAUUGAUAAAUGCAUAUGUUAUAUUUAGGGAUAAGUGGUAAUUAAUGAUUCCCACUUCCGUGGAUAUAUUUAACACUCUUCUUUCGUUCUAGAGCAAUUAUACUUAUUACAAGAAAAGCCCAAGCGCACUCUCGUUUAUUCUAGCGUAAAUUAAACAGUGCACAGUACUAUAAAACAAUAUAUGAAUAAAUAUAUGGAGCCAAUACAUCAUUUUUUUUUUAAAUGAGCUCAGUUAAAAAUGCAUAGUUACUAAUCUCCAACUUGAAAUCUUGAGUACCAACUAUCUAGUUCUUAACUAACCGUUUUAAGUUUAGUCAAUCUCAAAAGCCAAAAAAAUUUCUAUCUAUUACAUUAAAACUCUAUUAAAAUAUUUUAGGAAAAGAUCAUUAUUGCAUUUUCAAGAACCUGACGAGCAUUAAUAUGCAUCUAGAAGUUCUAAUUGAGUCAAACCAAGGUGGGACAAUAGUUUUAAAUUUUCGAAAAACUCCUUUAUCAAUCAUUUCAUCGAGGUUAGAAAAAAUAUAGAUAUUUUGACAUUUCUAACCAUUACACAUAUUUAUCAACAGAAUUAUUGCCUUGUCUAGUCUCCUUAAGAGGAAAAAAAAUUUCCUAUCUAGCCAUCUUUUAAAAAUAUUUUUAAUUUAGUCAUUUUAUAGAUUAAAAAAGUAAGUUAAUAAUUUUUAUAUAGAUUAAUAUGUUAAGUGGAUGGGAGAUUAAUAACUUUUAUAAAUUAAACAGAAAGAAUUAAGAAUGGUUUAAAUUAAGUAAAUAUAAUAUAAUUUUAUGUAUGAACACUUAAUAUUUUUGUAUGAUUGUAUUUUUCAUUUUUGUUGUCUACUGAACACUUAGUCUUUGUGUGCUAAUUAGCUUAUUAUUUGUACUAUCCAAUUUAGUUAUUUUAAUUUAUAUGAAGAAAUUAUUUAAUAAUAAUAUGAUAUAUGAUUAUAUUGUCAUUAUUAUUAUUGUUAAUUAUUAACAAUAACUAUUUGAUUAAUAUUGACUUGUAUAAUCAAAUUAAAUACUGAUAAUAAUAAUUUUCCACCCACUUAACAUAUUAAUCUAUAUAAAAAUUAUUAACUAUCUCUUUUUUCUUAAUCUAUAAAAUAAGAUUAGAUUAAAAAUAUCUUUCAAAAGAAGGCUAGAUACGAAAUUUUUUUCGCUAAGGAGGCUAAGCCGCUAAGUAAGGUAAUAAUUAUAUAAAUUUGUCAAUAUAUCAGUGCAAUGGAUCUACGGCGCAAACAAAUUUUAAAAUCAAAACAAAGAUUAGGAAAAAAGAAAAAAAAAAAAAAGAAGAAUUACUGGAGAAAAUUUCAGAGAAAAGUACUUCUUUACAUUCAAAUGUACAAGACGAGUACAUCAAAAUUAUUCACCCCACCUACAUUAAAAUUAGAAAAUACUAAAUAGUAAUAAUAAUAAUUAAGGAAAAAGCUUAUAAUGAGAACACAAUUAGGGGUUAAUAAAUUCUCGAUCGACUCUUCUUUUUUUCUUUUUCUUUUUUUUUUAAUUUUUUUUGGUUUUUCCGCAACCCCAUAUGUAGUAGUUCCGAGAAUGUACAUCGUACGUCGUCGACCCACAGUGCGGUCGUCGUGCUUUGAGAUUAACGCUCGAAGUGAUUGAUGAUCAGCAGGCGUAGAAGUCGACGAGCUCGUCGAGCGAGUCCGGGGCUGGAUCGGCGUUCUCGAGCAUCCAGAGGAGGUGCUCGAAGAGGACGACCUCGCAGCCGACGACCAAGCCGUCGCCGGAGACGUCGCCGGAGACGGAGGAGCGGGCGAGGAGGUGGCGGAAGAGCGGGUGGGAGACGAGGUCGGAGGAGAGGAGGUAGCGGCGGCGGGACUUGCCGACGAAGACGGGGUGGAGGCCGGAGGGGACGGGGAGGCGAUCCUCGUCGUCGGAUCUAGGGUUUAGCCACGCCUCGUCCUCGUGGUGGUGGCAUCUCGCGGAGGCGGAGGCGGAGGCGGCGGCGGCGGCGGUUCCGCCGGAGACGGAGCGGGAGACGGCGCGCACCGGGGUGGAGUUCCACCGCUUCAGCGCCCCCUUUAGCUUGCUCAGCUUCGAGCUCCGCGCCAUGGAUGCCUUAGAGAGAGAGAGAGAGAGAAGGGUUUAGAGAGAGAAGGAGAGAGAGAGAGAAAGAAGGGGUGUGAGUGACGAGGGAGAGAAAGGGGGGAGAAGCUUCGCGUAUUUAAAGAAAAACGGUGGGGCCCAGUGGAAGGGCAGGGGCGCGACGGGGCUGUAGAAAACGGGCCCCGGAUGUCGUGGAUAAUUACAGGAGUGCCAGUGGCGGUUUGUUUUUAUCAUAUAUUCAUGUAUAUAAUAAUAUAUACUAGUUUACCGUCUCGGGCACGAUGCGACGAAUAAAUAAUUUAAAAAUUAAAAAAUAUUAAAAAUAGCGAUGAGAAAAAAUAAUGAUAAGAGAUGAGAUAUAUCUUACUGACGAAUAAAAAUAACAACUGAAAGAAAAGGAAGGACUUGAACUGAUUCGGAGUGAAGUCCACACUCAAUAAUAACAAAAAAAGUUGUCACACGACAAUUUUAGGAGAAAUAAUAUACAACCAUAAAUAUAUUAGUAAAGUAAGGUUUACUGUAUAAUAAUAACAUAAUGUCAUUUAUAUUUAGUAUAAUAUAUAUUUUAGCUUAAUAAAAACGAACAAUAAAAAUAUUUUUUUUAAAAAAUAUUAUGGAAUUGAAGGCUCAGGAGUGGAUGUAACAAUCACAUUCUAGACUUUUUCGAGCAAUAAUAGUCCAUGUCAGUAUACCGACCGUCCCUAGAGUAAGUGGUAAAAGGCUUGGUGGUUGGUACCAGAGACCCAAAUUCGUAUCCUAAUUGAUUCACAUUUUCAGCUAAGUUUAUUUCUAAAUAAAAUAAACGAAGCGGGUAGCAUACUAUCUAUCUCUCUCAAAAAAAUAGUCCAUGUCAGUAUAAUAGUGGAAUAUUCUAAGUGUAUGUGAAAAAUGACUAAAUAAUUAGUAUUCAAAAUUUUAUGUUCAAUUUCUAUUUAUUUUAUAUUUAUAACUGAGUUUAUUAUUAAAAAAAAAAUGAAGUAGAUAGUAUGCCAUUUUUUUUCUAACAAAACAAUAGUAUAAGUAUAUAAGAAGCAAAAAUCUAUUAUUCAGUAAAAUCAUGGAUUUCACAAUUUCUCAGAGUAAACAUAAAAAUUAUUUACAUUCAAUCGUAAAAAAAUAUUUCAGACAAUUUAUUCAGAGUACAUCUAAGUAGGGUCUAAUAAUUAUGAUACAAAAAUGAGCAACUACUGUUUAGAAUAGUUAAUUGCCUAUUUUGGAGGCCAGGGCAUUAAAAAUCCUGUAUUUUUUUAGGUAUAGGAUGUGGAAAGUGUUGGAAUGAGAAAUUUGCAAACAAUUUUAGAGAAAGGUUUUAAAAAAAAAAAACUUGCUAUGCCAUGUUUGAAAAAUACAGUAAACGACCAUCCCUAACAAAAGUGGUAAAAACUCGAUGAUUAGUAUUUGAGUUGUCAAUUUUGAUGUUAAUUACUUAACAUUUGGAGCUAAAUUUAUUUCUAUAACAUUAAUAUCUUUCUCUCAGAAAAAAAAAAAAAAAAAAAACUAUCCAUACAGAAGGUUAGUAAGUUACAAUGAAAGGUGGAAAUAAAAAAUGCGAAAAAUUAACUAAACUUUUCAGAUUUUGUACUCCAAUUGAAAUUGGGAUAAAUCUUUUAUAUUCACUCUUUUACUUUUCUUUUCUUUUUUUUUUUAACUAUAGUUUUUAAGAAGGGUAGUGCCUCUAAAUGAAAUGAAACUGGGCAAAUAUAAAAUUGUGAAGCCCCAUGAUUUCAUGCUCAUAAUAAUGAUAAUAAAUAUACAUGGCCAAAGCUGUUGCAGAGUACAAAACUAACUUUGAAAUGACAAGGUCAUUCCCCCAUGAUUUUGUUGUAGGCUAUAUAUGAUAAUAUUAAUGACUCUAAAUAUUAAAAUAUUUUAUGGUAUUUAUUGGAGCAGUUAUUGUAAGUCUUUUUUUGGUGCAUUAUUUUUGUUUACUAGUACAAGACCUGCGCUUUGCGAUGGAUAAAUAGUAUUUCAGUCAACUUAAAUAUUUUAAUUUUUAUAAAUUUUAAUAUAUAUUAUAAAAAUUCAAAACCCUCAAUAUAAAAAUUUAAAACAGUCAAUAUAAAAUCCUCAAUAUAAAAAUUUAAAUUUUGAUAUUUUUAAUACACAAAUUUUCGAUAUAACAUAGAUCACAUUUAUUUAAUUAUAUUAUGAUCUUAUAAUAUGAAUUAUUAAAAAUUGCAGUAGGUGCGUGUAAUAUUUAUAGGCUUAGUACAGGCAAUUUUUAUACCUGAGAAGUGGGUUUUGAGAAGUGGGUUGUAUACAUAUAUCUUAUAUAGACCACUGGUAAAUUUUUUUAUUGAAAUUUAAAAUUUGUAAUAUAUACAGGCUUUUUAUAUGAUGUAGAUCAUAACUAUUACACUAUAAUUUAAUUUUAAAAUUUAAUAAUUAAAAUUAUGUUUAGUGGAUGUUAUAUUUUAAUAAACCGGGUGCAUGCAAAAGUUGAAGUGAAAGAAUUGAAGGGGACAUGUUACAUGUAUCGCUUUCUAAUUGCUAACAUGAGCCAACUCUCAAUAGUGAAAAAAAGCAUAGAGAGAGAAACAAAUUUCGUUGCACCUAGUGUAUAUUAAAACUCCAUGCGCUAUACAGUAUAUGAUGACUAUUAAAAUAUUUGAUAAUAAAUACCGCAAAAUAAUGUAUAAUAUAUAAUAUGUAUAAUAUAAGAUAUUUAAAUAAUUUACUAUAUUACGAAAAAUUAUUUUUUAUAUAUUUUUUAGAGUUGAUUUACGGUGCACCGGCCGCGUCCCAAUAUUUUCUUGGGAAAACUUCAAAUACCCUCUUUUGGUUUCACUUUUUCUCACUUUAGUAUUAUGUGGUUUAAAGUGUAUCAAGUUAGUACCCUGUGGUUUUGCAUUUUUUUCACGUUAGUACCCUGUGGUUUAAAGUGUAUCAAGUUAGUAUCAUGUGAUUUCGCACUUUCUCACUUUAGUAUUCUGUGGUUUCACACUUUCUCACUUUAGUACCCUGUGGUUUAAAAACUACAUGGUACUAACUUGAUACAAAAAUAAAACCACAAGGUACUAACUUGAUACAAAAAUAAAACCACAGAGUACUAGCUUGAUACACUUUAAACCACAGGGUAUUAAAGUGAGAAACUGUGAAACCACAGGGUACUAACUUGAUACAUUUUAAAGUACAAAGUAUUAAAAUGAAAAAGUGCGAAACCACAUGAGGGGUUUUUGAAAUUUUUCCUUUUUUUUUUUUUUUUUUUUUUAGACAUUGGUAGCAUGCUACUAUUGGCUCCUCCCUUGAACUGUGAAGUGGCUUAAUGUCCAGGCAUUUUUUUGAUGUAAUAGAAGUAGCAAAUUAUGUAUUCUAUUUUUAAGAAAUGUCAUGUCCACUUCAAGUAAAAGAUAUGGGCCAUAUUUGGAGAUGUUGUAGCACUUGGUUAUCUCUGUUUGUUAAAAGUUGUUAAGUUAAAUAGUUAAAAAAAAAAAGGGUAAUAUAUUAAUAUGCCAUAAGUUAUGUUCAUGUGAAAACAAGAGGAAAAAGGGUUAGAUUUUUUUUUUUUUUUUUGGUACAAAACAACAAUUUCUUAGUUGAUAUGUUUCACCAAUUAGGAAAGACAAGUAGAAAUGAGCUGAAUAAAGGAGGCACAUGGCUCCCUGUCCCAAUUAAUUUAAGCAACAAACUUGGGUUCAAGUACAGUUGAAGGUAAAUUUCAAUUGGUUCCUGUGUAACUUGCCCUGUAAUUUAUACUACACUACAUAUCAUGUGGCCUAUAGAAUAUAAAUUUUGUUAUCUUACUCAAUGAUAUAAAUUAUUUGGACAUACUUGUUUUGCUGAAUACAGAGAACGACAAAGUUAUUUUUUGCUGUAAAUACUGCAAAUACUCACUUUUACUAUUAAGUACGUCGUAAAUUAUAUUCAGACAUAGUUUUACUUUUUCAAAAUUUCGUAAUUGAUUUCAUCCUAAGUAAUGCAGAAGUUAAUUACGAAAGAGAAUUAAAUAACAAAAAAAACAUAAAAAUUUUAAGUUUAUAGCUUUCUUCAUACUUUUAUCGACUAGAAUAAAUUUUUCAGAGAGAUAAGUAGAAAAAGAAUUACUAUAGUUCAAAAGUCAUUAAAUUUUUAUAAAAUAAAUAUGUGAAAUUCAGUCCAACUAAAAAGCAAUUUUCAACCUAAAAUUCAAUUACUAGCACUUUACAAUAAAACAAAAGGCAAAAGUACAAAGUGGCAAAAGUGAGACAUUUUAAACAACAUAAUUAAAUUAACUCAAAUCUUCUAGAAUGGCAUUUUUGUAGUUUUGGAGAAGACCAAGGGCUUUUACUAAGUGACCCUCAUGUACCAACCACAGGGGCCUAGGUCUCUCUAGUGAGCUAAAACAAAUAUAAUUCCUCAUUUCAACCUCAUAAAACAAACUUAAAGAGAGAGAUUAAACAAAGCUUAGUGAAAGGGAUGGACAUGUGCAUGGAAGUUAGAAGGUCUCCCAACAAUUUUUUGUUUUCUCCUCUCAAAAUUUUUUUUUUAUUUAAUCACACAAACAAGAUAAUUUUUGGUCAAAUUAGUUAACUAACAAGAGAGAUUAAUUAUUUAUUAGAGAUCAUAUUUAGUUAAAGAUUCGGCGUGUAUAUAUAUUCUGCUAUUCCUUAAAUAGAGACUAAUAUAAAUUCAUAUUGCGUAGACGUGAAAAUAAUGGCAAAAAUAUUGAUUUUAGAGAAUUACUAAUUAAUCAGCUAAUUAACAAAAGAAAAUAAAUAAGAUUACUGUAUAAAUUAUUUACGAUAACAUUUACCCAAUAUUUGAAUAAUAAUUUGGGAUAAAAAAAACACAGGUAAAGUUAAAGAAUUCUAAUUAUCUAAUAGUAACAACAACCAUGGUCUCAAUGCUUUAAAAGAUGUUACCUUAUUCAUUCCAAUUGUGAAAAUGUGUUAAUUUAUCUUUACAGCAUUAUUAAUUUCGAAGACCAUUAUAAAUAGUCAUUAAUUAACACCCAAGUCACAAAGACAAAACUAUAAUAACAAUAUUUUGUGGUAAUUUGUGCAUAUUGAUUGUGGCAAGGAAACAUUGUAUUACAUUCAUUUAAUAGCUAGCGUACGUAAAAUGUACAUGCAUAUAAUUAAAAAUGUAGCAGUUACAACUAUAUGCAUCCUACUUGGUUGGAUGCAGUAAAAAGCGCUGCAACUAUAAAUAAUAAUUUAUUUAAUUGCAUACAGUUGAGAAAUGAUUUUUAAAAAUUUAUCAUUUUAUAUAUAUAGUGGUGAUAUUACCUCAAAUGGAAAAAAUUUUGCUUAAAAAAUAAUUAAGAAGCUAAGUAUAUCUUUUGUUUAAAAUUACUCUCUCCAACGGCUGCAGUUGGAACUACGGCUAAUUUGGACGUAGUUCCAACUAUUACAGUUAGGCCUCUUUUUUGCAGUUCGUACUACAACAGUUAAAAAUAAAUAUAUCAAAUCAAACACUGAAAGCAUGUAAUUACAACUGUGCUGCAAAUAUAACUGCAUUUAACCAAACGGUUCUGAUUUUUUUGGAAAAAUAUAAAACUUUAUUUUUCUUUUUCUUUUUUUUUGUAGAAACAUACUUUUUCACAGUUUUUUAUUUUUGAAUAAAAAAUCAAAAAAUUUUGGGAACUAAACACCCCCUAGUUUGGGGGUAUUCUCUAACAAUUAAAUAACAGCACAAGUGCAUCAAAAAAAUAAAGUGCCUAAGAUUCGUCCCAACCCCCAAAAGAGCCUUUUGUUUUGGACUUGGCAUGAUAUUAUAUUAUAUUAUAGUAAGAGUGGUUGGAGCCAAAUUUGUCAAUUCAUAAAAAUGUUCCUCUUUGUCACGUAGUUGGAUUUGAUUCUUUAUGAGACAAUAUCAACAAUGCAAUCAUAGGAAAAUAGCCAGUGCCAAAUGAAAAAUAAAUAAAUAAAGGACGUGGAAGGAAAUAAAGAUAAAGAAUAUACGUACAUGAGAGAGGAACCUGUAGUAACUUUGUUAGUGGGGAGGCAAUUUCGUCUAUGAAAUUAUAAACUUAAAAUUUUAUUGGCACAGAAAUGUAGCUUUUUACAAGGUUCAGAGAUCGAUCAAUUGAAAGAGAAUUUUUAAAGAUAAACUUCAAAUAUCAUCUUUGUAAUUUCGUACUUUCUCACUUUAGCACCAUAUGAUUUAAACUUUAAAGUGUAUCAAUUUAACACCCUAUGAUUUCAAUUUUUUCUUUGCGUCAGUCCCUCUGUUAACUUUUCGUUAAAUCAUAUACAAAAAAUUUCAGAUAUCCCAUCUAUAGUUUAUCGAAUAUUCACUUUAGUGCUCUUUAGUUUUAACUUUGCUGUUGAUUUAACGAAAAAAUUAGUAGAGAAAAUAAUAAAAAAAAAAUAAAAUUAUAGUGUAUAAAAGUAGUACACUUUAAAUUACAAAGUAUUAAAGUGAAAAAGUGCGAAACUAUAAGAGUGGUAUUUAAAGUUUUUUUAAUUUUUAAUAUAGAUUUUAAUGUGGUGGGCAGCUUAGUUGACGUAAAAAUUUAAGUGAAAUAAGUUCAUGCUCAAGGUUAUGAUAAAGGAGUUUUUAAGUUGUGGAGAGGUAUGGUUUUUGUUUUUUCCAAGAAAAUCAUUUAUUAGUCUCUUACAUCAUAAAAUAAAAAGAAGAAAAUAAAAGAGCCAUGAACAAGGAAAAGUCUUUAAUGGCACCACAUACAAAAUAUUUCAAACUAAUCUUCUGUGCUGUACAUAGGGAUGUCAAUGGAUAUGAAUAUCCGAAAUUUUAUCCAAACUCGAACCCGAAUGAAAUGGAUAUAUCUGAUGGAUAUGAAUAUGAAUUCAGAUAUGGAUAUAAAAAAUAAAAACCCGACGGAUAUGAAUUCAGAUAUGGAUUUUGAUUGUAUCCAACCCGAACCCGAACCCGACCCGAACCCGAAUUUAUUUUGUAUUAUAUAUAAUAUAUAUAUAAAAAUUUGAUGUUAUAUUUGAAUUUGUAUUUUAAAUAUUUAGAUUUAAUACAAUAUAUUUUGAAAUAUUGAAAAAAGAAAUAAUUGUUUCGGAUUCAAAUUUUCGGAUUCGGGUUCGGAUUCGGGUUUCGGAUUUUUGGUCAGGUUCGGAUUUGGAUAUGAAUUUUUAGAAUCCGUCGGGUUUGGGUUCGAGUUCGGGUCUCGGAUUUGGAGUUGGGUUCGGGUUCGAAUUUUAAAAAUCUGUCCCGAAUUCAACCCGUUGACAUCUCUAGUUGUACAGGAUAAUUAAGGACAAUAUGGCAAUUUACUAUAAAAUAAUAUUUUAAGAGAAUUUUGUUAUACUUCUCUAUUAUGUCAAACCUUUUUUUAUCAAUUAUUACUAUUCCUUUGUGGAAUAACUAUAACAAAAAGGACUAUUUAUCAUCUUACAUGGCGCAAUAAGAUAGAGUUGAAAUAUAUGA